UACGUAGGGUGCGAGCGUUAAUCGGAAUUACUGGGCGUAAAGCGUGCGCAGGCGGUGCUGUAAGACCGAUGUGAAAUCCCCGGGCUUAACCUGGGAAUUGCAUUUGAGACUGCACGGCUAGAGUGUGUCAGAGGGGGGUAGAAUUCCACGUGUAGCAGUGAAAUGCGUAGAGAUGUGGAGGAAUACCGAUGGCGAAGGCAGCCCCCUGGGAUAACACUGACGCUCAUGCACGAAAGCGUGGGGAGCAAACAGG
rnacentral:rRNA from 1 species